UAGCCCUGUCCUCCAUGAAUUUGUCUAAUCUUCUUUUAAAGCCAUCCAAGCUGGUGGCCAUUACUGCAUCUUGUGGGAGCAAAUUCCAUAGUUUAACUAUGCGCUGAGUAAAGAAGUACUUCCUUUUGUCUGUCCUGUAGUUUGGAGAGACGUAUAGUUUCUAUAUGACAUGCUGUCAAGCAUUUCCUUAUGAAAAGUGAUGUUUAUAGGUAUUAAUUUAAUUUUUAAAGUGAAACUUCUCUUAAUUCCUUUCCUGGCAUGGCAAAGGAGACCAGGAAGCAGCUGCCUCAGGACAAUUCAACUCACAGUUCAAAAGCUUACUAAAACAUUGUACCUGUACAAGGAAGCCUUUCUACACAUGUACACUUUUUAUGUUACAGGACUCACCUUUGGUGCAUCUACAGCUGUGUCUGAAAAUUCAUUCUCAACUUUCACACGUGUUGACACCAUACAGGUGUUCAAUGCUUCAUCAGAGAAAAGCAAACUUAGUAAUCUUGCCUUUUGAAAGUAACAUAUUUGAAGGAAUUGAAGUUCCUCUGCAAGUUUGCAGAGAAAUCACGAUGUAUUAGACUUUAUUAACAGUUCAGAUCAUUAUGGUAGGAUGACUUACACAAUAUACAUUUACUUCCUAGUCACUGUUAUCUAGUUUACGUAAUUAUUUGCAUGUGGAAAAUACAGUAUUUUAAUUUGAUUUGCUUUUUGUAGACUUCACAAAUUCCUACUUAAAAUGCAUAAAUUGGGGUUUAUUUUUGUCAUUACCUAAGAAAACAUUUCCCCCCAUAAUCCUCUUUUGUAGUGACCAAUAUCCCAACCCUUCUGCCCUCCCCAAUUUUUGUCUCUUCCCCCACCCCAAUGAAAAUUGUGUCACUACACUCCUGACUUUUAGUAACGCAGCUGAAUAGAGAACGAAGGCAAGAAUAAGGAGCCAGCGGAGGUUCCUUAUUUCCAGUGUAUGUUGGUAAGGUGACUGAAAGGAAAUCUGAGCUGCAAGAGACAAAAUUAUGGUGAGGAGCAAGGGAACCAUCAGCCUGCCAUAGAGUCAUUGUGGAAGCAUUACAGUAGGGCCCCGCUUACCGGCGCUUUGUAUUCCGGCGUUCCGCUAAUGCGGCGGUGGGAAAUUCCCAUUUUUAAAGCCAAUGUAGCAAUUUUACGACAUUUUCACAUCAUUUUUAUGCGACGGCCCCAUUAUAGUCUAUGGGUCCUGCUUUACGGCGAUUUCCGCUUUACGGCAGGGGCCUGGUCCCUAACCCGCUGUAUAAGCAGGGCCUUACUGUACAUAAUUGGGCCACCAGGGCAGCUCCACAGCAUUGAGGAGGAAUGAGGCCACAUUCACACCAUGCAUUUGAAAAGCUGUAUUAUACCAAAUCUCAGAGUGGUUAACAAUCAAUCUGUCUUCACUGGGAACUCUGGGAAUUGUACUUCUGUGAGAAUGUGUGUGUUAAGUGCCUUCAAGCUGAUUAUGACUUAGGGUGACCCUAUGAAUCAGCGACCUCCAAUAGCAUCUGUUAUAAACCACCCUGUUCAGAUCUUGUAAGUUCAGGUCUGUGGCAUCCUUUAUAGAAUCAAUCCAUCUCUUGUUUGGCCUUCCUCUUUUUCUACUCCCUUCUGUUUUUCCCAGCAUUAUUGUCUUUUCUAGUGACUCCUGUCUUAUGAUGUGUCCAAAGUAUGAUAGCCUCAGUUUCAUCAUUUUAGCUUCUAGUGAUAGUUCUGGUUUAGUUUGAUUGUAAGGGUCUCCUAACAAGUCUCACCAUCCUUUACAAACUAUACUUCCUAGGAUUCUUUGAGGGACACCAUGACUGUUUAAAGUGGCAUAAUAGUGCUUUAAAUGUGUGGUGUGGAUGUGACCUUGAGUUAAUCAAAGACUCACAGUGUUGACAGAUUGUAUUAGAGGGAUGCUGAAGUUGUCAUAAUAUUUUAAAGGAAGGGCUUUUUGUUGUAGUUUGGGGAGCCCAGUUCAUUACACUGACCAUGGAUGCACUUGCCAUAACACACAUUAGUAAUUAUAUUUUGCUAUGACCAUAUAUUACACAUUUUGACAGGUUCAUGUUGCAUGAUGUGCGAGAAAUGGUCCUAAUUGCACACAACCGCAACAAGGAUCAACCUUAGCUGAGACUGCCUUCUAAAGAGGAUGUUGCUUGGUCCUCAGUAGACCCAUGGCACAAAUUUUCAUGUGCUAAUUUAUAUGUAAAGAUGCAAAUUUAGGCCAACUUUCAGGGGGAAAGCCACCCUGUAAGCAAAGUUGAAAGAAAAGAAAAAGCUUUUAAAAGGUGCGGGAAGGAAUAGGAGAUCUGGGGCCUUUUACAAAAGACCCAAGGUCAUCCACUAACAAGGCCCCAGCUUCUGAAACAGGAUAGACUACUCUUGGAACAUCUUGAGUGAGCAGCUUUCUAACACAGUCAAAUUUCAUGGUGCAGGCCACAUUAUGUCAGAUUGAAACACGGUCUGUUGUGUAUCUUAGGUUUUUUUAGCUAUAUAGCUUUUGCUUUAUGGAAAGAACCUCAAGUUGAUUACCCUCUUCUUUUCAGGGAUAAUCACUUCAGAUCAGGCCUUUGGAAUGUUAUCAAAACUCUUUUCAACCACCCAGGCCUGCUUCAUGCUGUGAAAAAACACAGAUACAUUCUGUAAUCUCUGUUCGAAAUACUGUUGCACUAAGUAAUGUCUGUGGAUCUGAGAGGAGGGCAAACUUAAGGCGGAGGGAGGAAGCACCGUUCUAGGAUCUACAGCAUUACUAUGUGGACUUCAAAAUCUAUUGCCUCAUUUAGGCAUAAUGAUUAAAGGUUUAUUGACUCUGGAAUACUUUUUCAAAUCCUUUACAGGAUUUGAUUACAGUCUUGUGGAAGGGAAUGCCUGAAUAGGGCCUUGGAGUGCAGAGGUUCUGAUUAGUAGGUUUGUUGCCUGAGGAAUUACACUUUGUCUCUUGGUUAGUCUCAAAGUUUUGCUGCCUGAGGUGAAAAACAAGAUGACACUCUUCCCCCUCCACGCCAUUCCACAUUCAGAAGCCUGGCAAUGGGACAGUCUCCUCCACCACAUCUGAGGCAGCAGGUACAUUGGCCUUUACAUACGGGUGGACCGCAUAAUGCAACCCAACUUGCAAGCUGAUCUACUCUUACCUCUUGUGACUGCACAUGGCACCUCUAAAACAGACAAAGCAGGUUUUCUGAAAACAAAACAAUAUUUUUAUUUAUUUAUAAAACAUCUUACUGGGUUUCAGUCAAAAGAUAUUCAAUGCGUUGGAACAGUAAAUGGAAAACAAUGCACUCAAACACUGUUGGAGAAGCAUUUCCAGAGUUUUCUGGUGUUUUGAUACUGUGUCCAGAUGGCAGCAGCCUACGGCGUGGAUGACUUGAUAGUGGUGGCAGGGUGUGUGUGUUACACCUGUGACAAAUAAAGAUGUGCUAUGAACCUCUGCAGCCAGGUUGCGGAGCUCUCCAAUGUUUUUUAAUUCAAAUCUAUUCAUAAAUUAUACACGUGUUGUUGAAAUGUAUUAUUCAAUGUUAUGUGCUAAGAGUGAUCAUGAAUAUAGUUGACACCAGAGAGAUUAUUGCUAUAUGCAACUGGUCAGAUAAGUCAUGUUACUGAUACUUCUCUUUGAUCUGGCAGUUGGUUGAGCAAUUCUGAGAUGAAAUGCUUGUAUGUGCAAGGGUAAAAUCCAUCCAAGGUGUGAAGAAAAGAAAAAAACCAACCGGGAACUAAUGCUGCAAUUGCUGCUACUCUGUACACACCUCAACAUCCUGAAGAUUGUAGCAUGUCCCCUUCUGCAUCUUUUUGCUUAUAUUUUAUUUAUUGAUGGAAGGAUUUAUAUACUGCCCUCUUGCAAAACAUCAGGGUAGUG